GUAAGGAAUAUUGGACAAUGGGCGAAAGCCUGAUCCAGCCAUGCCGCGUGUGUGAAGAAGGUCUUCGGAUUGUAAAGCACUUUAAGUUGGGAGGAAGGGCAGUAAGUUAAUACCUUGCUGUUUUGACGUUACCGACAGAAUAAGCACCGGCUAACUUCGUGCCAGCAGCCGCGGUAAUACGAAGGGUGCAAGCGUUAAUCGGAAUUACUGGGCGUAAAGCGCGCGUAGGUGGUUUUGUAAGUUGGAGGUGAAAUCCCCGGGCUCAACCUGGGAACUGCCUCCAAAACUGCAUGACUAGAGUACGGUAGAGGGUAGUGGAAUUUCCUGUGUAGCGGUGAAAUGCGUAGAUAUAGGAAGGAACACCAGUGGCGAAGGCGACUACCUGGACUGAUACUGACACUGAGGUGCGAAAGCGUGGGGAGCAAACAGGAUUAGAUACCCGGGUAGUCC
rnacentral:rRNA from 1 species